GUGUUGGUGUGCACGUAUUGGUGUGCAGGUGUUGGUGUGGAUGUUGGUGUGGACAUUGGUGUGCAGGUGUUGGUGUGGGUGUUGGUGUGGACGUUGGCGUGCAGGUGUUGGUGUGGGUGUUGGUGUGCAGGUGUUGGUGUGGACAUUGGUGUGCAGGUGCUGGUGUGGAUGUUGGUGUGCAGGUGCUGGUGUGGACGUUGGUGUGCGGGUGUUGGUGUGCGUGUUGGUGUGCAGGUGUUGGCGUGGAUGUUGGUGUGCAGGUGUUGGUGUGGGUGUUGGUGUGCAGGUGGUGUGCAGGUGUGGGUGUUGGUGUGGGUGUUGGUGUGCAG
rnacentral:lncRNA from 1 species